CCCAUCGCCACCAUCGCUCCAGCUCCCUUUUCCCCAUCGCCGCCACCGCUCGUGCUCCCUUUUCCCCAUCGCCGCCACCGCUCCCGCUCCCGCUCCCGGAGGCAGAGAGGGGAGCGAGCGCACGGGCGAAUCGCCGGCGAGGGAGAAAGCUCAGGCUCGGCUCCGGCCGGCUGCGCCGUGCCAUGCGGCAGAGAUGGCGCCCUCCGAGCCGCCCCCGCUCCUCUCCCGCCGGCUCCUGGCCCUGAUUCUUGCUCUCGCCGCCCUCGUUUCCCCCACCUCCACCGCCAGGAAGAUCCCGGCCUUCAUCACCCCGAUCUCGCGGGACCUCUACAGCCCACCUCAUCCCUCCCUCCCCUCACCAUCUCUCCCUCCCCUCCGCCCUCUGCCCCCUGCCUUGAUCUGGGGGAUCCAAUUGACACAACCCCGCCGCCCCCGCACCCCCUGCUUUCCACCAUGGCUGCCUCCUCCUCCUCCGCACCAACCCACCACCCCGCCGUGGGGGCGUUUCCACAUAGAAGGGUAGUGAUGGCCCGUUCCGGCGACUCCUGCCGGCGCGCAGCAUGCUUCCGUGCUCGACUCCCUUCGCUCCGGCCAGAUUCACUGUUCCAGCUCCCUCCCCUCCUCUCCCUCGUGGCCAGGGCUCUAGGGUUUCGGCAUCUUCUUCCGCAGCCUCCUUCUCGCCCACCACCUCUCCCUCCCGGAUCCUACACGCCAUGGACUGCCUCUGCUCGGGACGCCAAGAGUUGCACAUCUCAUGGGGCCACACCUAAACUUGGUCUACGGCUCCAACCAGUGCUCCAUCGACCCCUGCUCAAGCAUCAACCACACAGGAGGAUCUUUGGUUGUCGGCCUUCCCCAUUGGAACCGAGUGGGAAAACAUUGACAAGAUAAAGGAGUUCAACUGGAACUUUCAAAAUUUAGAGAAAGCUCUAGAAGAAGGGGGGGAGCUGUAUGGGAAGACAGUUUACUGCAUAGUGGAUCAGAGUACAUUUGGUGUUCCUCUUAUCUGAAGCUUGCAUACCUUAGAAUCCCUUAUCUGUGAUUCUAUAUCUAGUUUUUCUCUGAAGCAUGCAUACCUUAGAAUCCCUUAUCCUCAAGUCAUGUCUAGUUAGGCCUUUCCACCCCUUGAUAGGUACCAUUGAUUUGGACUGCUGUUUUCCCGAAAUUAUAUGCUGGUUUCAUUUCAUCAGCUAAGUAGAAAGGCUUUCUUUUUGUAAGAGAGGUUCCCAUACAACAUCAGGUAGGGAGAGGUGACAUUUUGGUAGGCCAGGAUACAAGAUACCAGAACUAGCAGUUCUUGCCUUGCUUAUGUUUUGUGAUCUCAGCUUAUCUAAUAAAACUGGCAAUUAUAGGAUACAAGAUACCAUAACUACAUAACUGGGGUCAUUUGAAUUACUGUAGUUGUGCCGUCUGGCUAGUGGGAUAAUAUGGGAGCCACAGCAUGGCAUCAUUCUGUAGGGAGAGGUGACAUUUUGGUAGGCCAGGGCGUGUGCUUGUAUUCAGGCUCAAAAUGCGCCCCAUUUACUUCACCUCUAGAAUAUCUCUUUGCUGGCUUUCUGGAAUAGUAACAUAUGGAUUGUCAUACCUGCUUAAAUCUUAGUCGCUACAUGCUAGUAGGAUAUUAUUUACCAAUUCUAUCUUCUAUGAUUAAAACAAAUCCAUGACAGAGUUGCAGCAAACAGAUUUUACCAGUUCUAUCUUCUGUAUCAAAACAAAUCCACAACAGUUUUCCAAUGACAGUAGCAGCAAACUGAUUUUUAUCAAUUAUAUGUUCUGUGAUUAAAACCAAUUCUACCGAGGUAAACUGCAGAUGCAAAUGCGAUUUUUAUUAAUUAGAUCUUCUGCGAUUAAAACCAUAUUGGGUGACAACUUGCUUCAACUGCAGAUGCCUGCGAUUAAAACAAAAGUUUCAUUCAUCUUAUGGUAUCUUGUUCUCUCUGAUAACUCUUGACUUGCAAGAUACAAUGUUGAUUUAUUAUAUAUACCCGCACAAAAAGUAUAUGGUGUUGUCUUAUUCGGUCUGAACUUUGCAUAUGUUUAUUCAGUUUACAACUAGGAUUAGUUUCAUGUGUUUAUAAGAAUUAUUGAUGCAAACCACUAUGUUUGUGCAUAGCAGGGACGACUCAGA